UACAGGGGGUGCAAACGUUGCUCGGAAUUAUUGGGCGUAAAGCGCGCGUAGGCGGCUACUUAAGUCGGAUGUGAAAGCCCCUGGCUCAACUGGGGAAGUGCACCCGAAACUGAGUAGCUUAAGUGCAAAAGAGGGCCGCGGAAUUCCCGGUGUAGAGGUGAAAUUCGUAGAUAUCGGGAGGAACACCGGUGGCGAAGGCGGCGGCCUGGGUUGACACUGACGCUGAGGCGCGAAAGCGUGGGGAGCAAACAGG
rnacentral:rRNA from 1 species